rnacentral:lncRNA from 1 species
GUUAAAGCUGUCAUUAAUUUUUUAACUGAGCUAUUUUUCUUUGUGUCAUUGAGUUCUAAGACCACAUAAUAUAAAUGUUUACCAGACAUGAUUUGCAAACAUUUCAUUGUAUUUUCUGGUUUUUUUUUCCUUUGUUAUUUUUCACAGUGUCAUUUGAAGCAGAAGUUUCUAUUCUUAUAGUCUACUUUGUUUAAUUUUAAAAUGCUGUUCCCUUGUGCUCUUUGGUAUCGAUUCUAAGGAAUCAAGCCGGAGAGAUGGCUCAUUAGUUAAGAGCACUAGCUGCUCUUCCAAAGGUCCUGAGCUCAAGCCCCAGAGAGCACAUGGUGGCUCACAAUCAUCUAUAAUGGUUAUCUGUAUAAAAGAAGGAAAGAAAGAAAGAAAGAAAGAAAGAAAGAAAGAAAGAAAGAAAGAAAGAAAGAAAGAAAGAAAUCUUUUAAAAAAAGGUAUCAUUGUUUAAUACAAGAUCACAGAGAUUUAUUUUUGUGUUAUCCUCUAAAGUUUUAUCUACAUCUGUAUCUAUAUCUAUUUAAUCUAUAUCUAUCUUUUUAUACUUAGGUCUUUGGUUCACUUUGGGUUAAUCUUUUACAUAGUAUGAUUAGGGAGGCAAACUUUAUUCUGUAACCAGUGAUCCCAGAAAAGUUUUUUGAAGACUAUUCUAUCCCCCUAUUGAAUGUUUUAACUUAUUCCUUGCCGGAAGUCAAUUUCCCAUAGACGUGAAGCUGAUUUCUGGAUGUUCUAUUCAAUCCCAUCAGUCUGUAUGUUUGUUCUCAUACUAGUAAAAUUCUCCCUUGAUUGCAGUAGCUUUGUGGGAGGUUUUAACUUGGGAGAAGUGUGGACAUUCCAACCUUGCUCCCAUUUUAUGGUUGGCUCAGUCCAACCCUGAAACGCUGGAGCCCUUGAAUUUCCACAUGGGUUUUAGCUUUAAUACAUUAAUCUCUAAAAAUAAGCAAGAUGGAAACUUAAUGGGGUUUAGCUGAUAGAUUAAUUUGGGGAUGUACUAGGAAUUCAGCCACAUUGAAUCUUCACAUUAACAAGCAUGACCUGUCACCAGCAACCCCUUCAAGGGGACCUUUAGCCCUUCUAGAAUUUGCUGAGCCCUUCUUCGGUUAUGGAAAGGCAGAAGAAAGCAGUGAUGAGCUGUCAUGAGUCAGUGUCAUGUGUUAGUGUCAUGUGUCAGUGCUACCUUAUCAGAUAGGGUUAGCUUGUACAAUGACUUCCUCUGCCAUCAGUAGGAGUGACUCAUGGACUCAAGGCCUCUAUCCCUGUUGUUCCUUCUUGCCUUGUGAACUUGGCUUUAUAGUACGAAAGUCCACCUUUCUAUGUCCCUUAUCACUGACCUUGAAGCUGGCCUUAAAUAACAUCUGUGAUUUCACUAGAGCUUUUGAGUUUUGCAAAAUGGACAGACCAGUAUUUCAUUCUCAGUGACUUUAGUGUGAAAAAUAGCACUAAUUAUCCGGUAAAUUCAGAGUGAUUCUAACGGAGAGGCCACAUUACUUGAUUUGGGUCCUACUCUACUAAAUCUACUUUUGUCUUAUAAAUACAUAGAGAAUUGGAGGUAUCCUUGAACAUACCGGUCAGAACUCAAGUGUCAACCUGCUCUGAUGAUUUAAAGCCAGGUUAUAAAAGGCAUACCCUAGUAUACAAGAGGAAAACAAGAGAUGAGCUGGCUUAAAGCCAGUCAGAAAAUGUGUUCCUGGCAUUCCACAGUCUGGGUCAUGGGGUAAGACAAAUUAUCCCCCAUCUGGCCUUAGACCUAUCAGGCUCCUGUGGGAAUGCACUGGCUUUGCCACACAAUGUGGUCGUAUAAUCCUCUCCCCAUCUGUGACCAGCCUGCUUCCUGUCUCAUGUCAUGGAUAUCUCUCUCUCUCUCUCUCUGUCUGUCUCUUUGCUCUGUAGCUUGUACUUAUGUCUCUAAUUUUGCUCUCAAGCCAGCCCAGUGGUCCUAGUGACUCAUUUCUCUGGGUCUUUUCCAUGGGCCUGGGUUUAUAAGUAGCUGUCAGUCAUUGAGCCUGCUAAAAGGUUAUUCCCCACACUCAUAGUGCUCACUUGGUACAAGCAAACAUAUGUGUGUGUGCAUGGGGGUACAGCUUCAGAAAGUUUAAACAUAUGUGUGUGUGCAUGGGGGUACAGCUUCAGAAAGUUUAAAACCACAUCACAAUCGGAAUGAGAGUUGGGUUUUUUUUUUUCUAAACAGAAAGAAGAGUUUCUGUAUAAUAUUUACACAGGACAUCAUUUUGUUGUCGGCCAUGACUAGACUCAUCUUCUUUUUCUUUUCACUGAUAACUUUGUUUUGACUAAGUUCCUUGUUAAGAUUCUUUUUACAACAGGAAGGAAGCUCCCCCCCCCCCCCCAGGGGCCAGGUUUAAGCCCAGGAAGGCACAGGAAUCAGUCUACUCUUUUCUUUGUUGCUGAGCUUGUUCUAAGUGCCAUGCGAGGGAUGGCUUGCUGGAGAGGGUCCAGCCUGAUGUAAUGGGGAGGCGUCCUGCACCUCAGUGAACUGCAAUCCAGGGCUUAGGCUCUUCCCCCUGACUGAGGAAAUAAAAAUGGAACUAAGUGUUCAGCCAGUGAGGACCCCGGCAGGGUUGGCCAUGAAGGGGAGAUUGGAAGCAGAGGGGAGGACAUUAGUAUACGUAGACUGCAGAGCGAUCACCUCCUCUUCAAAGGAAGUCUGAUUUCUUAGCCUGGAGUCAUCACCACCCAAAACUUUGCAGUGUUUUCUCAGGUUUGUAUCUUCUUAAAGGAACUGAGAUUUUAAUAACAGGAAGAUCAUCAGUCAUUCUUAUUUUAUUUUUAUUUUUUAUUUUUUUGGUUUUUCGAGACAGGGUUUCUCUGUGUAGCCUUGGCUGUCCUGGAGCUCACUCUGUAGACCAGGCUGGCCUCAAACUCAGAAAUUCACCUGCCUCUGCCUCUCAAGUGCUGGGAUUAAAGGCGUGCGCCACCACGCCCAGCUCAUCUGUCGUUGUUAUUAGGGGAAUGAGGGCCUUGUCAGCUCAAAUGGCAUAACUUCAUUGAAAUUAUAUAUGUAUAAUAUUAUAUAUAAAUAUAUUAGCAUAUAUUUAUAUGUGUAAUAUAUAAUAAGUUGAUAUAAGUUAUAUGUGUGUAUACAUAAUAAUUAUUAAAUAAAGAAGAGCCUACAAAUUUAAAAGGGAGCAAGCAAGGAUGGAUAUAAGGUGGGGUUUGAGAGAGGGAAGGGAAGGAGGAGAAAUGACAUAAUUAUAUACAAUUUCAAAUAUUCUUUUAUAUGAAGGAAAAUAGAUCUACAUGUUAGCAUGUUUUAGCAAGGUAAAACUGUGAAUGUUAACAGAAACUCAUUAAUAUUCUAACUUCUCUUUCUCGAAUUAAUGCACCACUUUUACAAAGAAAGGAAGUGCCGUUUACCAUGCGUAGAUAUUUAAAACCUCAGUUUGUUGACAAUUUGAGUGAAUAAAUCGUUUUAUUGGAAAGAAAGAGACCUCGUUGGAAAGCUGAGGAGAUGAAAUGCCGCUGGAACUGGAAUACACAUAUUAACUCUUUCGAAUCUGAGGGGCACGUGUUACUGUGAUCAAGGAUAUGGAGGCUGUCUUAGGCUUUGUACACAGCAGUAUACACACUGCACACACAUACACACGUGCACUCACAUACUGUAUCUGGUGUGUGCAAACACAUCCCACACGGUUAUAAACUGAAACUAGCUUUUCAGAAAUGAUUGAGCAAUUCCAGAUGAGAUAUAACUAGAUAGACAGAUUUUCACAGAUAGAUGUACGUGGGUAUGCAGUUUUCAAGAGUAGUAGUGGAGUGACAGGCUUUAUGAAGUUUUUCUUAAAAAU